AUUGAACGCUGGCGGCAGGCCUAACACAUGCAAGUCGAACGAGUGGCGGACGGGUGAGUAAUGUCUGGGAAACUGCCUGAUGGAGGGGGAUAACUACUGGAAACGGUAGCUAAUACCGCAUACCAUCGGAUGUGCCCAAAUGGGAUUAGCUAGUUGGUGGGGUAAUGGCUCACCAAGGCGACGAUCCCUAGCUGGUCUGAGAGGAUGACCAGCCACACUGGAACUGAGACACGGUCCAGACUCCUACGGGAGGCAGCAGUGGGGAAUAUUGCGCAAUGGGCGCAAGCCUGAUGCAGCCAUGCCGCGUGAGUGAAGAAGGCCUUCGGGUUGUAAAGCACUUUCAGUGAGGAGGCGUUACUCGCAGAAGAAGCACCGGCUAACUCCGUGCCAGCAGCCGCGGUAAUAC
rnacentral:rRNA from 1 species